UUUUAAAUUCCCUCUUCCUCUUCCAUCUCCCACGACAUCACGAUCUUCUCACCGCCCCUUUCCCUCCUUUAUACCUUUAUUGCAUUUGCUUACAUUCUCUCUUUAUUCCACUCCAAAUAUUAUUUCAUUCCUCCAAAGCAAACGGAGAUCGAUCCCUUCUCUAUUUGUCUCACUCAGCCAACGAGUCCUGCUGAUUUUAAGUUUUGGUGCUUGUCAUGGUGGCCAACGGUCUUUUUUAGGGAAUUUACAAUUAUGAAUUUUUUUAACAAUGCGGAGCAGCUCUUAUUUGCAAGCAUUUCUCUGUCUUCCUGAUUCCAGAGUUGGAACGACAUGGCAAAACUUGCGACUCUUGGGCGCAGUGGAUUUCUUAGGCACUCAAAUGGAAGUUUGAGACUUAUUAUAACGACGACCAUUGGCGUCGUGGUUGGCUUCUUCAU